CAUGUCGGCUUAUCAUUUUCUCAUUCCUGAUAUCCCAGUUCAGCACAAGAGGCUGAACUCAUAGCCCUUACUGAGGCCUGCCUCAUAGCGAAAGACUCCACUGCCAACAUCUACACAGACUCCAGAUAUGCCUUUGGAGUAGUUCAUGAUUUUGGAGUAAUAUGGAAGGCCAGAGAUUACAUUACAGCCGCAGGAACUCCAAUUAAACAUGCUUUAGCAGUAGAGGCCUUAAUGGCUGCACUACUACUGCCCACCAAAGUGGCAGUAAUUAAAGUAAAGGCGCAUACCCGUGCUGACACACCAGAAGCCAAAGGAAAUGCUCUGGCUGACCAAGCAGACAAACAGGCAGCAAUGGAAAAGGAAGUAGCACAGCCAGAUAAAAUCAUGCUGGCACAAAAGGAUCUCAAACAACAAGAAGUAUCAUGGGAUCUACUGAAACAGAUGCAGAAGCAAGCCACUCGCUCAGAAAAAGAAACCCGGCUAAAAGAGUCAGCCCUUGAAGAAGAAUCCGGACUUUGGACACAAGGGAAGAAAGUGUGCUUGCCUAGAGCGCUCUAUCCUAUCAUUGCCUCUGUGGCCCAUGGACCCACUCAUCAAUCUAAGACAAUAAUGAAGGAGCUCAUCGAUAAAAUAUGGGUAGCCCCAAGAAUCACCCCUGUUUUGGUGAAAUAUGUCCAGUCAUGUCUAAUCUGUGCCCAAUGCAAUCCCGGUAGGAC